rnacentral:rRNA from 1 species
AUGAACGCUGGCGGCGUGCCUAAUACAUGCAAGUCGAGCGAACAGACGAGGAGCUUGCUCCUCUGACGUUAGCGGCGGACGGGUGAGUAACACGUGGAUAACCUACCUAUAAGACUGGGAUAACUUCGGGAAACCGGAGCUAAUACCGGAUAAUAUAUUGAACCGCAUGGUUCAAUAGUGAAAGACGGUUUUGCUGUCACUUAUAGAUGGAUCCGCGCCGCAUUAGCUAGUUGGUAAGGUAACGGCUUACCAAGGCAACGAUGCGUAGCCGACCUGAGAGGGUGAUCGGCCACACUGGAACUGAGACACGGUCAAGACUCCUACGGGAGGCAGCAGUAGGGAAUCUUACGCAAUGGGCGAAAGCAUGACGGAGCAACGCCGCGUGAGUGAUGAAGGUCUUCGGAUCGUAAAACUCUGUUAUUAGGGAAGAACAAAUGUGUAAGUAACUAUGCACGUAUUGACGGUACCUAAUCAGAAAGCCACGGCUAACUACGUG